rnacentral:rRNA from 1 species
UGGGGAAUAUUGCGCAAUGGGCGGAAGCCUGACGCAGCGACGCCGCGUGGGGGAUGACGGCCUUCGGGUUGUAAACCUCUUUCGCCAGGGACGAAUGUGGACGGUACCUGGAGAAGAAGCACCGGCCAACUACGUGCCAGCAGCCGCGGUAACACGUAGGGUGCGAGCGUUGUCCGGAAUUAUUGGGCGUAAAGAGCUCGUAGGCGGUGUGUCGCGUCGGCCGUGAAAACUUGGGGCUUAACUCUGAGCU